GAUGAACGCUAGCUACAGGCUUAACACAUGCAAGUCGAGGGGCAGCAUGGUCUUAGCUUGCUAAGGCCGAUGGCGACCGGCGCACGGGUGAGUAACACGUAUCCAACCUGCCGUCUACUCUUGGACAGCCUUCUGAAAGGAAGAUUAAUACAAGAUGGCAUCAUGAGUCCACAUGUUCACAUGAUUAAAGGUAUUCCGGUAGACGAUGGGGAUGCGUUCCAUUAGAUAGUAGGCGGGGUAACGGCCCACCUAGUCUUCGAUGGAUAGGGGUUCUGAGAGGAAGGUCCCCCACAUUGGAACUGAGACACGGUCCAAACUCCUACGGGAGGCAGCAGUGAGGAAUAUUGGUCAAUGGGCGAGAGCCUGAACCAGCCAAGUAGCGUGAAGGAUGACUGCCCUAUGGGUUGUAAACUUCUUUUAUAAAGGAAUAAAGUCGGGUAUGGAUACCCGUUUGCAUGUACUUUAUGAAUAAGGAUCGGCUAACUCCGUGCCAGCAGCCGCGGUAAUACGGAGGAUCCGAGCGUUAUCCGGAUUUAUUGGGUUUAAAGGGAGCGUAGAUGGAUGUUUAAGUCAGUUGUGAAAGUUUGCGGCUCAACCGUAAAAUUGCAGUUGAUACUGGAUAUCUUGAGUGCAGUUGAGGCAGGCGGAAUUCGUGGUGUAGCGGUGAAAUGCUUAGAUAUCACGAAGAACUCCGAUUGCGAAGGCAGCCUGCUAAGCUGCAACUGACAUUGAGGCUCGAAAGUGUGGGUAUCAAACAGGAUUAGAUACCCUGGUAGUCCACACGGUAAACGAUGAAUACUCGCUGUUUGCGAUAUACAGCAAGCGGCCAAGCGAAAGCGUUAAGUAUUCCACCUGGGGAGUACGCCGGCAACGGUGAAACUCAAAGGAAUUGACGGGGGCCCGCACAAGCGGAGGAACAUGUGGUUUAAUUCGAUGAUACGCGAGGAACCUUACCCGGGCUUAAAUUGCAGAUGAAUUACGGUGGAAGCCGUAAGCCGCAAGGCAUCUGUGAAGGUGCUGCAUGGUUGUCGUCAGCUCGUGCCGUGAGGUGUCGGCUUAAGUGCCAUAACGAGCGCAACCCUUGUUGUCAGUUACUAACAGGUUCCGCUGAGGACUCUGACAAGACUGCCAUCGUAAGAUGUGAGGAAGGUGGGGAUGACGUCAAAUCAGCACGGCCCUUACGUCCGGGGCUACACACGUGUUACAAUGGGGGGUACAGAGGGCCGCUACCACGCGAGUGGAUGCCAAUCCCAAAAACCUCUCUCAGUUCGGACUGGAGUCUGCAACCCGACUCCACGAAGCUGGAUUCGCUAGUAAUCGCGCAUCAGCCACGGCGCGGUGAAUACGUUCCCGGGCCU
rnacentral:rRNA from 1 species